rnacentral:rRNA from 1 species
GUGAGGAAUAUUGGUCAAUGGGCGCAAGCCUGAACCAACCAUGCCGCGUGCAGGAAGACGGUCCUAUGGAUUGUAAACUGCUUUUAUUUGGGAAUAAACUCCGGUACGUGUACCGGCCUGAAGGUACCAAAUGAAUAAGCACCGGCUAACUCCGUGCCAGCAGCCGCGGUAAUACGGAGGGUGCAAGCGUUAUCCGGAAUCAUUGGGUUUAAAGGGUCCGCAGGCGGUCUUAUAAGUCAGUGGUGAAAGCCUACAGCUCAACUGUAGAACUGCCAUUGAUACUGUAGGACUUGAAUUCGAUCGAAGUGGGCGGAAUGUGACAUGUAGCGGUGAAAUGCUUAGAUAUGUCACAGAACACCGAUAGCGAAGGCAGCUCACUAGGUCUGGAUUGACGCUCAGGGACGAAAGCGUGGGGAGCAAACAGGAUUAGAUACCCGAGUAGUCC